AAGGGGGAAAACUGACUUAUACUAUGAUAUAUGUUAAUCUGAACAAUUUGGGAAAUGAAAAUCACUUGUAGAUAUAGUGUGAAUUGUUAUUCCUAAAUUAUGUUUUCUGUUUUCAUUUAUUUUUUAUGUGAAUCCUGGGUGUCAUAUAAUGUUAUUAUUUGAAUGCUCCCAAACUUGGUCUCAGGACUUGUUGUCCCAGAUGUACC
rnacentral:misc_RNA from 1 species